GCCGGGCAUGGUGGUGCAUGCCUGUAAUCCCAGCUACUCAGGAGGCUGAGGCAGGAGAAUCACUUGAACCCAGGAGGUGGAAGUUGCAGCCUGGGCAACAGAGUGAGAUUCUGUCUCAA
rnacentral:SRP_RNA from 1 species